GCAAGGGUAGUCAAGCAUGGCCAACGACGCUAGCUUGAGGGGCUAGUCCUUAGUGGUCCGCGAGUUCAAAUCUCGUCCCUUGCACCA
rnacentral:tRNA from 6 species